GUGGAUAUUGUUAUGACCUAAUAUGUGAAACCUUUCAUUUUUGUGUCUGUUGCUUUUUUAUUCUCCCCCUGUAGUUGGUACAUGUUGAUUAUGAGGUGUGAGGAUAUUUGACACAAUCUGUGGCACAUUCAAAAAUGAUUUGAGAGAGUUUAAGACUCUUAGAGGUUUUAAAAAGCCAUUAGUUUGACUUCAGUCAUAUACUAUGUUUUAAGUGCUAG
rnacentral:lncRNA from 1 species